CAUGAACGCUAGCGGCAGGCUUAAUACAUGCAAGUCGUGGGGCAGCAGGGGUGUAGCAAUACAUCUGCUGGCGACCGGCAAACGGGUGCAUAACACGUACGCAACCUUCCCGUUACUGUGGCAUAGCCCAGGGAAACUUGGAUUAAUACCACAUAUUAUAUAGAGAGGGCAUCCUUUUUAUAUCAAAGCUUCGGCGGUAACGGAUGGGCGUGCGGUUGAUUAGGUAGUUGGCGGGGUAACGGCCCACCAAGCCUACGAUCAAUAACUGAUGUGAGAGCAUGAUCAGCCAAACGGGCACUGAGACACGGGCCCGACUCCUACGGGAGGCAGCAGUAAGGAAUAUUGGGCAAUGGACGAAAGUCUGACCCAGCCAUGCCGCGUGAAGGAUUAAGGUCCUCUGGAUUGUAAACUUCUUUUCUCUGGGGCGAAAACCAGCUAUUCUUAGCUAUUUGACAGUACCAGAGGAAUAAGCACCGGCUAACUCCGUGCCAGCCGCCGCGGUAACAC
rnacentral:rRNA from 1 species